AAUAGGAGGUUUAUUUUUGGUCUGAAACUUUCAGCCUCUCCCCUUGUAAUAAACACUUCCAGAUUCCCACUGCAUGUGUUAUAUGAUGUUAUGGGCUUUUUUAUUUGGAUAUGAGAAAAACUACUAUGGCAUGUCCAUGUUUUUAGAACCGUGCCUGGAGGAGGAGGCACGUAGAGGUGUGAUGCUUAUGGACUCGCCCGGAGGCAGAGGUGGAUGAUGGCUGGGAGGACACAGGGGAGCUGUACACACCCAGCCCCAGGUUUUACCUUCUCAUUGCUGUACAGAGGCACACUGAAGAGGCAGCGACUGAUCAGGGAAGAACGAGCAAUGCUGCCAAUAUUCACUACGAGAAGGAAGAGCUGGAAGCUUCUAAACCAAAGAAAAAAGCCCCCACAGAGGCCCUGGUGUGAGUUUUAGCCAUGGGGCUGGAUAAUUCAUGGCUUGAUUUCUCACAGAGGCUGCUCCUGGCUUGGAGAGACCACCAGAUCCUGUACACAGGCAUGCAGAUGCCAUUGGAGAGGCAGAGCCAUUGGCAUCACCAGCCCCACAGCUGGAAGCAUUGGAAAGAGAAACAGGAGGACUCUACCCUGAGAGAGCAGGACCACCACUGUAAGUCAAGCCACGGCAUUCAUCAAUCACCUUGGAGCUACGUGGGCACUAUGUGGGGUCUUCUGCAAGCUGGUCUAUGGGGCUGGUUGUUCGUCUGAGACAAAGUGGCACUGUUUAAGAGUGUGAAAAGGAAGGAGUGGCAGACAACAUGGGACACUCAAGAGAUGAUUAUGACUCUAAGGAAGGUUACAAGUGCAAAGUAACUUUUGUAUUUUCUCAAAUGGGUAACAGCAUUAUUUCCUAUUGAGGUACUGUGUCCAGUUCUGGUCCCCACAGUUCAAGAAAAAUGCAGACAGAUUGGAGACAGUCCUAGAAAACUUGUCUGAAGAGGAAAGACUGAAUGGGUUAGGUCUUAUCUUCCCAAAGAAGAUUCAGGGGGGCCUCAUCUCAUCACAGAAUUUCCGCACUCAAAGAGCAACUACAAGGACGAAAGAGGUUCUCUGUUCACAAUGAUCCACAAGCAGAAGAGAAGGAGUAAUGGGUACAACUUGCACCAGGAGAGAUUUCAUCUUGAUAUAAAAAGAAUUUGUUUUUUUACAGUGAGAACAGUUGUUCACCUGAACAAUCACCCCAGGGAUGCAGUGGAGUUGACAUCACUGGAUGUUUUCAAGAUGCAACUGGACUAGGUGCUCAGAAGUUUCAUCUGAGAGGACAAAUAACAAAGUCCCAAUAUUUGAGAUGAUUUGAA